rnacentral:hammerhead_ribozyme from 1 species
AUUCAGCUGACGAGUCCCAAACAGGACGAAACGCGAGUUCUGAAU